CAAAAUCAAAUCUCAUUCUCUCCCUCCCCAGUCCUCACGCCACCAUAGCACUUGCUCUCUCUCAAACCCUAACUCUGACAACCACUGCCCAGCUGCAGCGUCUCUAGUGGCACAACACUAUCGAACAUUGCAAAUUUCGAUGAAACCAGCCUUUGUCUCAUCAAAAAACCUCAAAAUCUUCUUUUUCUAGCAAAACCAUCCUACAUCGAAAGCUUUCUUGCUCCUUCCAACACCCAACAGUCACAAGAAGAUUAUUACAAAGGUCAUCAACUAUGUAAGAUUUUUCAUUAAAGCGAUGAAGAUGUCAAAUAUGAAGCAAUGGAAUAAAUUGAAGCUUUGAAGUACCAAUCAAUGAUGGAAAAAUACAAAGUAGUUGUGAAGAAGUUGAAGUAGAUAUCAAUAGGGUCAUGGCUAUUUUUUGUAGUUUGUUUUGGUGUAUGCUAGCAAAACAAAAGCAGCCUAUAUGCUGUUACCUUGAUGUAACUUUUGAAUAUUGAUGCCAAUAAUAGUGAUGUAUCAUAAAAUGUAUCUUUAUGUUAGCUUUUGUUUUACUAGACAAUUGUAGAUUAAUGUUACCUUUUGUUGAGUUUAUGAAGUUCAAUGAAAAUUUAGCUUUAUGCUAA